UACGGAGGGUGCAAGCGUUGUCCGGAUUCACUGGGUUUAAAGGGUGCGUAGGUGGGCAGGUAAGUCAGUGGUGAAAUCUCCGGGCUUAACUCGGAAACUGCCAUUGAUACUAUCUGUCUUGAAUACCGUGGAGGUUAGCGGAAUAUGUCAUGUAGCGGUGAAAUGCUUAGAUAUGACAUAGAACACCAAUUGCGAAGGCAGCUGGCUACACGAAUAUUGACACUGAUGCACGAAAGCGUGGGGAUCAAACAGG
rnacentral:rRNA from 1 species